rfam:Fukomys damarensis contig110285, whole genome shotgun sequence.
GGGGAUUUAGCUCAGUGGUUCCAGCAUCUGCCUCACAAGCUCAAGGACCUGGGUUCUAUCCCCAUUAUCACCA